rnacentral:tRNA from 6 species
GAUUCCGUAGCUCAGUUGGUAGAGCAUGCGACUUUUAAUCGCCAGGUCCUGGGUUCGAGCCCCAGCGGAAUCA